rnacentral:lncRNA from 1 species
AGUGCAGAGGCGCCCUAGCCCCACGAGGAAGAGGAGGUUCACCCAGCCACUCCUGGCCGACCUCUGAGCUCUCCGGGAGCCAGCGCCCCACCCUAGGCUCAGGCCGCGCUAGGACCAGCUCCCGGCCCAGAUCGUAAACCACCCGCCGGAAUCGGCGGAAAGCCGCCCUUGGACACAGCGCGCAUCCGCCCAAGGGGAAGUUUAUUUAUAGCUUGUAAACGUAAAGGAAACCAGACCGCGCUACCUCGCCGCGCUCCGGCUGCUUCGCUCCCCACCUGCCCACCAGGAGGGCGCGACGGGUGGAGGGAGGUGGGGUUUGGUUCUGUGCCCCCCCUCCCCCGCUCCCGCUCCGCUGCCAGGGGAGAACAGGGUCCUAAGAGGCUGGCAAGCCUUACAUUCCUCUCGGGACGCCUAUCCAGUGCCAUGAAAGCCGGAGGGGGCGGAGGACAGGGCCCGGGCACCGGAGUGGUUAGGGUGGGGGUGGCCGAGCUGGCCCACUUGGCACGGAAGGGCAGGCAGGCCAGGCGACGCGGCGCGAGAUUCCACAGCUCCCGCUCCGGACCGGGGGAAAUCCUGGAGUGCCAGAGAGCCCGGGGAGGGGGCGCUCCGGGAGCCUCUCCUUGAAAGGCGGGAUGCUUUCCCCGUUCCUCCCGCGCACGUGUCCUCAGCAGAGCAGGCAAGCGCUGCGCGCCUGGGGCUGCGAUCCUCGGGUGACAGCGACUGAGAGCGCGCCCUCUCCACCCCCACCCCCGCCGUCGCCGCCUCUCCUGGGGAGCUCCAGUCUCCAGGGUGCGCUCGGGGCAGGCCCCAAGAGCCAGAGAAACGGAAAAGUGCCGGGGAGGCGAUUAGGAAGAGAAGACAUUAAAAAGCCCAGCCCUGAAAGACAGGCAGCCGAGCUGAAAAAGACGCCUGCGAACCCCCACCCCGCCGCCCCUCGCCUACUGCGCCCAGACGGCCCCUCCUUGUCCCGGCUGAGCGCACCCACCCCCGGCCUCGGCCGGGGCGAAUUCGUGUGUGUGUGUGUGUGUGUGUGUGUGUGUGUGUGUGUGUGCGCGCGCGCGCGCGCGCUCGAGUGCCGGGAGGGCAGUUGCGAAACGGGCUCUUGGCUGCAGCGCGGCAUAAUGGAGGUGGCUGGAACAAUGCGCGCUUUGUGCGCGCGGGGAGUUGUUUUCCACCCGCCUCGCCCCCCUUGCUCGGGCCGUAUGGCACUUUAAUCUCCGCCACGACUCGGCACAAAUGCACUUGUGUCCUGCGGGUCACUGGGGGCCGUGCGGCUGGAGCCGCCCCCACCCCGACCCCCGCGGAACCCACCGCCGGCUGCCCCAUCUUCCUUCCUGAGCACCCCCCACCACC